rnacentral:rRNA from 1 species
CAAUAGCGUAUAUUAAAGUUGUUGCAGUUAAAAAGCUCGUAGUUGGAUUUGUGGCGUACGGUGUGUUCCGGGCACUUGUUGUCUGAGUAACCUGCUGUUGCCAUCCUUGGGUGGAACCUGUGUGGCAUUAGGUUGUCGUGCAGGGGAUGCCCAUCAUUUACUGUGAAAAAAUUAGAGUGUUCAAAGCAGGCUUAUGCCGUUGAAUAUAUUAGCAUGGAAUAAUGAGAUAGGACUUUUUUGCUUUUUUGUUGGUUUGCGCAAAGAGGUAAUGAUUAAUAGGGACAGUUGGGGGUAUUCGUAUUCCAUUGUCAGAGGUGAAAUUCUUGGAUUUUUGGAAGACGAACUACUGCGAAAGCAUUUACCAAGGAUGUUUUCAUUAA